ACAGAGGGGGCAAGCGUUGUUCGGAAUUACUGGGCGUAAAGGGCGCGUAGGCGGCCAACUAAGUCGGACGUGAAAUCCCCAGGCUCAACCUGGGAACUGCGUCCGAUACUGGAUGGCUCGAAUCCGGGAGAGGGAUGUGGAAUUCCAGGUGUAGCGGUGAAAUGCGUAGAUAUCUGGAGGAACACCGGUGGCGAAGGCGGCGUUCUGGACUGCAACUGACACUGAGAAACGAAAGCCAGGGGAGCAAACGGGA
rnacentral:rRNA from 1 species